AGCGAACGCUGGCGGCGUGCCUAACACAUGCAAGUCGAACGUGAAAGGGAGCAAUCCCAAGUAAAGUGGCGUACGGGUGAGUAACACGUAGGUAAUCUACCCCAGAAUCUGGAAUAACCGGCCGAAAGGCUGGCUAAUACUGGAUAGAGCGACGGAAUCCGUAAUUGGGUUUUUCGGGAAAGGGAGCCUGUAAAAAGGCCUUCGUUCUGGGAUGAGCCUGCGUCCCAUCAGCUAGUUGGUGAGGUAAAAGCUUACCAAGGCAAUGACGGGUAGCUGGUCUGAGAGGACGAUCAGCCACACUGGAACUGAAACACGGUCCAGACUCCUACGGGAGGCAGCAGUGGGGAAUCUUGCGCAAUGGACGAAAGUCUGACGCAGCAACGCCGCGUGAGGGAAGAAGGCCUUCGGGUUGGAAAGCUCUGUCGAGUGGGACGAAAAUGCUUGGAGUUCACAGCUCCAGGAACUGACGGUACCACUAAAGGAAGCACCGGCUAACUCCGUG
rnacentral:rRNA from 1 species